GGGUAGUCCCAGCCGUAAACGAUGCCCACUAGACUUUGGAGCUCUUACGGGGGGCUCCAGGGUCGUAGGGAAACCGUUAAGUGGGCCGCCUGGGGAGUACGGUCGCAAGGCUGAAACUUAAGGGAAUUGGCGGGGGAGCACACAAGGGGUGGAGGCUGCGGUUUAAUUCGACUCAACGCGAGGAACCUUACCAGCGGCGACAGCAGAAUGAAGGUCAGGCUGAAGGUCUUACCAGACAAGCUGAGAGGUGCUGCAUGGCCGUCGUCAGUUCGUGCCGUGAGGUGUCCUGUUAAGUCAGGAAACGAACGAGACCCGCGCCCUAUGUUGCUACCGUGUCCUUUAGGACACGGGCACUCAUAGGGGACCGCUGGCGAUAAGCCAGAGGAAGGAGCGGGCGACGGCAGGUCAGUAUGGUCUGAAUCCGCUGGGCAACACGCGGCCUACAAUGGCUGGGAACAAUGGGGAUGCGACCCCGAAAGGGGGGAAGCUAAUCCCUAAAUCCAGUCCUAGUUCGGAUCGAGGGCUGCAACCCGCCCUCGU
rnacentral:rRNA from 1 species